CAGGCACUCUCUGAAGGAGGUGUGCAUAUGAGACUCCCCAGGAAGAGGAGACUUUGAGGAGCCAGAAACCCACCCCCAAACUGGAUGGCAUUUCUCCUGAGCUGGCAGCUCUGUCCACAUGGCUCCUGGAAGGUGGUUUCUUUUCACAGAUGGUUCCGGGGGAGCAGGAACAGCACUGACCAGUUCAGUAUAAUCAGGCCUGGAGACAGAUUAAUGGAACUCAAUAGGAAGGAGAACCCGGACCACAUCAUUAUGCACCGGAAUGGCUCCCUGACCCUGAAAAACCUUUCGUCCAGAGAUUCUGGCCUCUACAUCGUUGAAGUCCACACCCUGGCAGGAAUAAAUUUUUUGGGUGAGAGAUACAUCCGAGUACAUGGUGAACAUACAAAACUUACGCUCACUCUUGAGUCUGACUAUAACCAAGACAGUACCAUUGAGCUCAAAAUUAAGUCCACCGUGACCUUCCACUGCAUAACCAAGUCCCACCCAGUGACCUCUUAUCACUGGACUUUCAACGGCAGCAGUCUGGACCACACAGGGGAUCAGCUCACCCUACACAAUGUGUCCUGGGCCCACCAGGACAUGCUCCUCUCACUACAAGCAGGCCCAAGCCUCCAGCUCAGCUAAGAUCAUCCUUAGAGUGGUAGAUUCUCAGGAUUCUUCUGGACCCUCACCAUCUAGGGAAGUCAACCUCAUCUUCCUCAUUGUGACUGCUGUCCUGGCUGGACUGGUGAUAGCUGAGGGUGUGGGCUGUAUUCUGUUUAUUAGGAAUAUCCAAAGGUAACCAUGUUUCCUCUAUUGCUUACCUGUUUAGCAGCAGAUCACCAACCAAGGGUGUGGUCAGUCAUCACCCCUGACCCUACCACCAAGGGAGGACUGGCCACUGCAAAGACAGGUUAGGGUAGAGGCCCUAACAUCAGCAGAAACAAUGUUGGUCCCUCUGGUAGAGUACAUCAUGGAGAGGAAAGCUGGUAGUGGUGAGAACAUAGCGAUCUUGGAAAGACUGGUACCACAUUGUCAUGGUGGGCCACAUCAUGGUAGGGAGGGCUAUGGGGUGAUAACCUGACAGCAGACCAUAGUCAUAAAGCAUGUAAAUGGCAAGUGGGGUCUGUGUCCAGGGGAAGCAACAGGAUCCGAGAGCGACAGAACUGAAGGGCAGAGAGAUGGCUGGGUGGUCUGUGGUGCAGAGAAGCAAGCAGGAUGAAGUAAUGGUCGCUCAAAUGGUUCUGAAGCAGGGGAGCAAGCAGUUCAUACUUAUCAGAGGUCAAGAAUCCCAGGAGUGAGGAGCAUCAGAGGUUAGAAGUAACAGAGCUCGAACAAGCAGCAGAUCUGGGAGGUACACGGAGAACAGUCAUCCAGGAACUCAGAUACUUCAGUAUCUAACCUCGUAUCUAACUCUACGAAGAUGUUUCUGUGUCUAACUCUCCACAGGUGCUUCUGUAUCUAAGGCAAAAACAAAUCCCCCAAAUGUUGCUGUGACGUGCUGGAGCCAUUUCUACCGGCUACAGAGCUGAUUGUUAAAUUUUCAGCUUCAGAAUUUACGCGUUGGAAAUUGGCAAAUGCCAACCAGGGCUUGAUUUCUUGCGCUGUUGACUGUUGAUUGUCUUAGACUUAAGAAAUAGAUGGAUGUAAAAAAAAAAGAAAUAGAUGGAUAAAAUCUUAAUAAUAAUGGAAAUCAAACUUUAGAAAUGUGUCCUGCAUGCAUUUGUUUUCAGAGCCAGUAGUUAAACAUUUACCAACAAUCCCUUGCCCACAUCCUUCCUGUGAUGCCUGUGAAUAUGGGCAACCCAACAUCUUAAGAUUGGCUCCUACUUUGAGGCAAUGUGGAAUGAGCUCUAGACUUGGAGAGCCAACCACUUACGAGCUGUGUGGCCAUGAGCACCACCGUCUUUCCCCUCUCUGAGCCUUCAUGUCCCCAUGUGGAAAGGAAGGAGGUUGGGGCCUCCUUUGGGACAUGGUCUCUAGAACCUCCUUCUGAUGAUCCCCAGGAUGAACCAGUCCUAAAAAGUCACUAACUCAGGGAUUUUCCCUACUCUUCCCUUUCAGGGCUUCACAGAAACAGCUGGAAGCUGUACAACCAGGUGAGGAGAGUCAUGCAGUCAGGAUCCAAACUCCUUGCAUACUUGCAAAACAGUAGGCUGCUUAGUAUUUGUUGAAUCGAAUGAAAUUGAAUUGAGGUCACUCAUUUUCAAAAAUAUUACGUGACUACUAAAAAGGUUUUUCACACAUAUGAAAAUGAUUCCAAGUCCCUAGUUCUGCACACAUAUGAGAAUCAAUCACAGCCCGCAGUUCUGCACACAUAUGAAAAUAAUCCCCAAGCUGGAGGUGGAAUAGCGACCACUCAGGACCAGAGUUUUGCCUCAGCCUCCCCCUCAACCCCAUCUGAGAAAGCUUACCAGGACCUAGAUGUCACCAAAGUGGAUGUCUAUGACCAGAUCGUCCACCCAAGAAGCCAAGGAGGAAGGAAGUUGUUCUGGAGAUGAUGCCCUCUGCCCACCAAGGCACCAUCUUGCUGGAGCAGGAUACAUGAAGGCAAAGCCCUUGGAGAUAACACAGAGGAGCUGUCAAGGGCCAAGCCAGAAACCACUGUCCCUAGGCCCCAAGCUAAGCCCAAUAAAAGCACCUGACCCCCAAAAGGGUUCUACUCUUUCCUGUGCCCUAACAAUGGAAACUCCCAUGACUUCUGGUUGCUAAUCCCUGGCCCCUGUGGAAGGGGAAUUCUCACCAGACAGAGUUUGUUCUCACAAAACUACUUUCCUCUGCUUGGUAGAUUUCCUCCUCUUUGCCUGGAUAGAGCCCAAGGAUCCUGGCAGAGAAAGAAGAGGCUUGAGUAGGUGGUAUCAAGGGCUUUCAGGUAUCUGCUGGAAUUCUUGAGGGUGAAAUGAGACAGUUUCAUUUCUAGUGUUUGAAAGUGAAGUGGGCAUGUACAAAAUAGUCACAGCAGCUCUGUCUGUGGUGGCAAAGAAUUGGAAAUUGAGAGGAUGCCCAUCCAUUGGGGAAUGGCUGAGCAAGUU